GACGAACGCUGGCGGCGUGCUUAACACAUGCAAGUCGAACGAAGUGGCGCACGGGUGAGUAACGCGUAAUCAACCUGCCCUUCAGAGGGGGACACCAGUUGGAAACGACUGCUAAUACCGCAUACUGAAGGAGGGGAUUGCGUCUGAUUAGCUAGUUGGAGGGGUAACGGCCCACCAAGGCGAUGAUCAGUAGCCGGUCUGAAAGGAUGAACGGCCAAAUUGGGACUGGGACACGGCCCAGACUCCUACGGGAGGCAGCAGGGGGGAAUCUUCCGCAAUGGAGGAAAGUCUGGCGGAGCAACGCCGCGUGGGUGAUGACGGCCUUCGGGUUGGAAAGCUCUGUUAAUCGGGACGCGGUACCGGAAUAGAAAGCCACGGCUAACUACGUGCCAGCAGCCGCGGUAAUUC
rnacentral:rRNA from 1 species